rnacentral:rRNA from 1 species
AGAGUUUGAUCCUGGCUCAGGAUGAACGCUAGCUACAGGCUUAACACAUGCAAGUCGAGGGGCAGCAUGUUGGUUGCUUGCAACCAAUGAUGGCGACCGGCGCACGGGUGAGUAACGCGUAUCCAACCUACCCUUGUCCAUCGGAUAACCCGUCGAAAGGCGGCCUAACACGAUAUGCGGUUCACAGCAGGCAUCUAAGGUGAACGAAAUGUGAAGGAGAAGGAGUGGGGAUGCGUCUGAUUAGCUUGUUGGCGGGGUAACGGCCACCGAAGGCGACGAUCAGGUAGGGGUUCUGAGAGGAACGGUCCCCCACAGUUGGAACUGGAGACGACGGUCCGAAACUCCGUACGGGAGGCA